UCGACACUUGAAAGAGUAUCCCCGGAGAACGUGCGAUUGCGAUUGGUCGAUUCGCUCUUUCUGCUCUUUGCUGAAUUUCCCACCGCGAUAUAUUAUCGCAGAAAUUUUAUCUUUGUUUCGAUCAUCGGUUAAUAAUAUCAAUAUCGCUUGGAAAAUAAAUGGUAAUUAGAUGACAUAACAAUAAAAUCAAGUACCUGGAAGAAAAUUUAUAAAACAUGUUGAUGAUAAAAGUCGAGACACAUCACGAUCACGCAUCGAAUAAUAUCUUUUUUCGAACAAUAAUAAUCUCUUAUUCGGAAAACAAAGUUUUCGGCAGAGUAGCACGGUGAUCAUGCGGUGGUGAUAAUCACAAAUAGUUUAAAUUAACAUAUCUACAAUAUGUAUCAGAAUUUAGAUAAACGAUUCGAACGAGUGACAAUUUCAAGUUCGAACGUAAUACGUAAAAAGAGCGUUCGUUUCAAAGAAAUCAAAAAUAGAUUUGACUCUUAUCACUGAAUGUUCGAUAAAUGACGAAGAAUUAUAUAGUUUCACGUAAAUACGUACGAAGAUUACUUUGUCGGAUUCGUAUUGUACGGUAAUAUAAUCUUAUCGGAAGCUUCGAUAACGAAUAAGAGAGAACAAUCAGAACAAUUAUAUGCAUGAAGCUUGUAUCGUACGAAUUGUUCAAGCGCUGAAACGUGUCAAGAGAUUAGCAUGAAUUUUUUCUAUACAAUUUCAAAAACUUAUUGAAUAAUCUAUUCCAGGCAUCAAUAACAGCUAUCAUGCGUGUCACGAUCAUGGGUGUUUGGUCAUCUUUAUCUCAGAAAAAUGCUGUCGUAUCUUUUAUAACGAUGCGCGGGCGUGAACUAGUUUGUUGCUCGUGAAGUCACUGUCCGUGGUCUUUCUCUACGUAUCCACGUGGAACAAAGAUAAAUCCACAAUCUCGAGGUGAAUCUCGGGGAUCGAAGUGUCAGCGGCGCUAUCCAAGUAGCCAUCGAUGAAUAGAGCGAAAGGUCACGCGAUGAGUAAGAAAAGAAGUUCUGAUUCCAAUAUGAACUCUGCUCAUUUCUGCGUCAAAAAAGAGACACUAUAAAGAAGACUAAAAAUUUUAAAGCUCGGACAAUUAUUAUCAGAAGUAAUUUCGACCCAUAGCUACUGUGCACUAUCCAUCACGGACGCAACACUCUAUCGCUUAUCAAAAGCGUAGCCGUUAUCUUAUCCCGAAGACUUGAAAGCCAGCAAUAAGUGUCGGUACCAGCACGCCGUUGCCCCAUCGUCGAUCUCCGAGAUCGACGAUGUAGUCGCGACCGAUGACGAUGAUGGCAACGAUAAAAACGGCGGAGAAAAACAGCAGCCUUACUUGGUGGAGACUGGUC